GGAGUUUGCAUGUUCUCCCUGUGCUUGGUACAUGCAUGGUAGGCUGAUUGGCAUGUUGAGUAUGAAUGGGUGUGUGUGAUUGUGCCCUGCGAUGGACUGGCACCCUGUCCAGGGUGUACCCCGCCUUGUGCCCGAUGCUUCCUGGGAUAGGUUCCAGGUUCCCCGUGACCCUGAUAAGGAGUAAGCGGUAGAAGAUGGAUGGAUGGAAGUGUACAACAUAUUCACACUGAAGUACUGAAGUAAUAUCUUUACAGAAAAUACCUGUUAUUUUCAUAGUACAUUUCGAUUAAUAUACAUUUACAGCAGGGUUUUUUUUUCCAAAUAUGAACACUACAGUUGACAGGUGAACCCCUGCUAUCAGUUAGUCAGGUAAAAAUAACAACAAACCUCCAGCAUAAACACUCCCUUACACUACUUGGGACACACCACAGCGGUUUGUAAAGUUGCCUGCAAGAUAAUGCUUUGUUUACACUGUUUUAACAGCUGAUAGCAGAUGCGUGAGACACACAUGAGAGACGCGUGAGACACUGGCAGUUAUAACAGGUUUGUGUGUGUGUGUGAGAUGGUAUAGAGAAACAGAUUCUUUCAAGGUUUGCCUGCCUCUCUGACACCAUGUGGUUUCACACACACACACACAUACACACACACACACACACGCGCACACACACACACACGCACUCACACACACACACAGAGGUAUAAAUGUACAGUAUAAAGAUUAGGGAAAAUUGGCAGGUAAAAGUGGCGAGACUUGCUGAGAUCAGAUCAGUGAAGUCUAAUCCUCUACUGAGGUUGAGUCGUACUCACACAGCCUCAGGAAUCUGGUACCUGAGCCACUGAUGUGUGAAUCUGAGAAAACGAUGCUAUGAAAGAUAAUUCAAAGAGAGUAGAAGAGCUCAGGAGGACGAAGGAGAAUUAACAAGUAAGGGUUAAUGAGUUCCUCUAUGUGUGUGUGCGUGUGUGUGUUAAUGUGCAUGCAGGUCCUUUGCUGAAAGUUGUUGUAUCUGCUUUGACUCCGGUGUACUGGACGGCUGUUCAUGUAUCAGCAGGAAUGAUGAACGGCUUCACCAUCAGCCGCAGGAAUUUCAGACAAGAAUCCUAACUGGAGUUUCACACAGGAGAGAUCUUAAGAAUAACCCAUGUGGUGAGAGGUGUGGAUGCAGAGGGAGUUUUGCUAGUCGAUGUGGUCAUUAAUGCAUUUAUUCCUGCAGUGUUUUUAUCCCCAGUGCUACAUCAGCAGGUCUUAAUUUACGCUUCAUUAGAACUUCACAUUAAUCAUCGAUGCAUUAAUAACAUUAAUCAGAUGUGUGGAAUAAAGAUCAUCUUGGGUAAAACUCCUUGUUUCUAGGAGUUUGAUGAGACGUAUGUGCAAGUUGGCUCUGGUCAGAUUUACUCCUGGUCUACCCAGAAUUCUUUUCAGCAGGGUGUCAGCUCGGUGCUGACUCUGCGCUGUAAUCACUCGCUGGAGUUUGAUGGAUCAGUGAAAUGUUUCGCUCCACUACUGAAGCAAAUCUGUCAGACAUCAGCAGCUCCUACAACAUGCUCAACUUCAGGCUGUACUUUCACAUCACAGCCACAUUAUCACUGUCAGGUCAUCACAACCAUACAACAAUACUAAUGACAAUACUCACAUCACAACCAUACAACAAUACUAAUGACUAUACUCACAAAGUCCAUCAAUUUCAUCAUGGUCAUGUUCAGGGCUGAGCAGGAGGAACGACAUACACCAUGUCUGGAACGUCAGUAAAAGUCCAAAAUAAUUCUGUAAAAAAGCUUCAGUUUUGCCACAUAAUUAUAAAAUAGAUCAGGGCAUGCGUGUUUUAUUUUGUGUAGAUGAUGAGGGAGAGAAAUGCCCAGAAGGAUUCUGGAUGAAGCAUUUUACUGUGCUGGUAAAUACUUUUUAAUGAUUUCUGAUCAAAUAAAUUAAAUUAUGUUGUCAUGUCAUGUAUUUUAAACUACAACUAAAGUAGCUCAUAUUGUAGUGUAGGAGAGUUAGGGUUUAGGAUUGGGAUAACAGUUUAGUGUUUAGGAAUGUGAUUAAGGUUCAGGAUUGGGAUUAGGGUUUAGAAUUGGGAUUAAGGUUUAGGAUUGGGAUUAGGGUUUAGAAUUGGGAUUAAGGUUUAGGAUUGGGAUUAAUGUUCAGGGCUUGGGAUUAGGGUUUAGAAUUGGGAUUAAUGUUCAGGGCGGACGAUUAAGGUUUAAGAUUGGGAUUAGGGUUUAGAAUUGGGAUUAAUGUUCAGGGCGUACGAUUAAGGUUUAGGAUUGGGAUUAGGUAAGUAGGGUAUGAUAAUUGUCUAGGAUUUGCAGAUCCUCCUUGUUUAUAGUUACAUGUGGAACAGCAGUGAAAGAAGUUAGUUCCUGUUCUCACUCACGUUAUAGCAACUAUAUACAGUCAUCCCCUCAUACGUUGGCACUGCACCAUGCAGGAGCAUCUCAAUUAUUUCCAAGCUACGUGCAGAUACGACUCUCAAAAUAACUGUAGGAUACGCACAGCAGAUAUCUGCCAAAAGCCUAUGUACAGUUAAAAUCGAGUAUAAUUAGGGUGUUAGUUUGUGUGUUGAUGUGUUUUUAUAUGAUGUUGCGUUUCAGACGAGGAUGAGUGUGUGUGUCAGAUUCUCUAUGUUCUCAGUCCUGCAUUAACAUCAUGGAGGGCUUAGCUGCAGCUGUCCAUCAGGAUUCACCAUCAACACCGAGAGCAACAGCUGUCAAGUGUAUACAUGACUUAAGUGCCUUCCUGAUUCGCAGUUCAUCACUCCCCUGGCAUUUCCAGUUCCUGGAACGUUCAGGUGCAGAGAGAACCAUGUGUUUGAAAUUCAGCUUGGACCUCGUACACACAUUGCUGAAGUCUGAUACGCUACAGGUUUGUUACCACAGGAAUAAGAUGCUUUAUAAAAUAAAUCUAUAUAUGUAUGAGUUUUUAUUUUAAUUCUUUUAUAGAUGAAUCUUUAGUUGUUUUGUUUAUAAACAAAUUUUACAAUGAUGUCUUUCCUUCCCAUCGCUAUUGACCAAACUGUUUUUCCACUUAUCUUGGUUAAGCCUUAAAGUCAUGUCAUUUCCAUGAAUACAGGUUUGUCUUAGUUUUAUUCUGCACUUUAAUAUAACUGGUCACUGCUUUGUUUUUUCUUUUGCAGUCCUGUUGCAUUUACAGAGAGGCUCUUUUGUUGACUAUUACAAAAAUAUUAGGCAUUAUUUUAUAUUUUCUAUGCAGUGUAUAUAUUUAA